UACGUAGGGUGCAGGCGUUAAUCGGAAUUACUGGGCGUAAAGCGUGCGCAGGCGGUCUUUUAAGUCAGAUGUGAAAUCCCCGGGCUUAACCUGGGAACUGCGUUUGAAACUGAAAGGCUAGAGUGUGGCAGAGGGGGGUGGAAUUCCACGUGUAGCAGUGAAAUGCGUAGAGAUGUGGAGGAACACCGGUGGCGAAGGCAGCCCCCUGGGCUAACACUGACGCUCAUGCACGAAAGCGUGGGGAGCAAACAGG
rnacentral:rRNA from 1 species